rnacentral:lncRNA from 1 species
CUUCAAUGCAGUAGCCCAUGAGUUUAACAAGAUUUCGAUGUUGUAGUUUCGAUAAAAGGAUGAUCUCAUUCCUGAACUCUUCAACGCCUUGGGCUGAGGUACUGGAAAGUCUUUUCACAGCUACCUCUUUCCCAUCUUUCAGCUUCCCCUGUUUCGCAAUUCACAUAGCUUUCAGACCAUGGAUUACCUCUAUAUUUUCAUUUAACGAAUGUGCUGCAGAAUAAUUUCACCUUAUAAACAGAGCCAAACCCUCCUUGCCCUAGUUUACUCGUCAUGCAAAACUUGUCCGUGGCAAGUAGUAUGCUAUCAAAACUGAAAAGGGUCAAUUCCUGUGAACCAUCGUGCUUCAGCUGCUCUUUCCAUGCUUUUCCUUGCAUCAUUUUGGCCGAUUCUUCAGAUGUCUCUACCAAGCCAAGGAGUUCUGAAAAUUCCCUCAAGUUUCCUGUGUUCAUCAUUGGUAAAGAAUUAGCUCACUUUCUUCAUAGCGAUGGAAGAUUCAAACAAAAUAGAAGCACAAUCCUCUGAAAGCACUUGUGUGGCUCUUCAACAGUACCUGUUUUCUUAGCUCUCCAUCUGCAGAGAGCAAAAACAGAUACUGUAAAGAUCAUGAUGCCAGCAACGGUAAUCAGGCUGAUGAUAACUGAUUUUCGCAGCGAUGCUCCUGAGAUGGAAGAGAAAGUUAUGUAAAAGAUGAUCUGCGUUGACCCAAACUCAUCUCAAUGAAACAAUUCCUAAUAUGCUUUGACGUGGACAGCUCGAACAAGUAGAUCUUCCCCAGCUGUGGGUUCCUGAAGAUCGACCAGGUCUUUACUCCAAACCAUACACGCAACAGAGUUGACAUAAGAAUAAGCCAAGCAAGAACAAUUGCUCAGGCACCACCUUAAACAUCCUUCUUAAACUAUACACCGAAUGAUGCACGGAAUGCCAAUGCUAUCAUUUCGACUAAUUUUCGUUGGAAAAACAACAUUAAAAUUUUGCGUAAAGGUUUGAAACUAAACCCGUUUUUGGUCUUCCUAAUCUACUGUCCUUUCUCUCUCUCUCUCUCUCUGUUGAAAAUCUUUGUUCCCAUGCGGUGGUAAAUCCAUCCUUGCACACAACCCCAACCCCCAAACAAAAUGGCAAAAUUACAAAGUUUUGAAAUGAACUGACAUUUUUACAAUAGAUUUAGGAUUAAUCAAACAAUUUCGACGUUGCGUUGUACUUGUAUGUCGAUUAGGAUUUCGAUCUUAAAACAAUUGUCGGUCAUCGCUAAGCACUUAGUAAUUGAGACACGUCUAAUUAGAUGCUUUGAACGCCAGCUGCAGCACUAUUAGAAAUGGGCUGAGAAAAGUGAGCUGAGCUGUAGCUUCGUGGGCUUAAAAUAGGGUUUGGGGAAUUGAACUCAGAUUUAUUUUUAUUUUUCGGCCCACCUUUUACAUUUUCUCCCUCAUGAUGUUUCUCUGGCUCAACCAAAAUUUGUAUGACAAUUCAUAAACUUGGAGAUGAGAAUAAUCAAGUGGCUCCAUUCCAAAGCUGAACCCAUAACCAUAUUGGGGAAUCGGUUCCUGGAAAACCUGAAACCCGAACCCGAAUUGAUCUAUCCUAUCACUUGUCUGCAACCAAAUCGGCCCAUUCCGGGGUAAAAUGAGGAUCAUAUCCUCCAUUUUUAUUUUAUUUUUAGAUUUUAGCAUAUUAAAAAUGAAUAACUAUUUUUUUUUUUACUUGAGACUUCGUCUUUUUAACCCAUUCUCUUUUAUUUUGAGUUGUUAACUUGUCAAUGGCAAUUUUUAAUAAUAUAUGUCGAUAUUUAUAUAUACUUAUCAUAUCAAUGCCGAUUCAAAAUUUGUUUUACUAGGAAUUUACUUGGUAUGUUUGGUUCCUUAAUAAAAGAAAUGGGCUUAAGGCUCAACCCUGAGACUGAAGCGAAGGUUUCGGGUUGAACAUGAAAUGUUGCUCCCCCUUAGGUAAACUUAUAUACAUUUUAACAAAUUUUCAGUUGUUUCUUUUUUUCUCCCGAUUCAUCGCCUCUUCAUUCCAUCAUACAAAACAUGCAAUUGACCUUUAAAACCAAUCAUAGUAGGAUCAGGAUGGAACAAGGAGAAUUUUUCUUCUUGUAUUGAGAUAUCAAACUGUCAAACAUGGGAGCAGUCAAAGGUUACCAAAAAUAAACUAAUCAUAUCCUACCUACCUGAAAAUACCAUGACAGAAUCCACAAUUUAAACUGAAAGCCAGAAAGGUNNNNNNNNNNNNNNNNNNNNNNNNNNNNNNNNNNNNNNNNNNNNNNNNNNNNNNNNNNNNNNNNNNNNNNNNNNNNNNNNNNNNNNNNNNNNNNNNNNNNAAUCCCAUCUCAAAGGGAGGGAACUUAUGGCCCGAUACAUAGGUAGAGCUCGACUUAACUGUUCCAAUCGAGGGCUUUGCUCAUGUGGAUUGAGGGGGUCUUCAAGGAUAUUAGAGAACCACUCUAGUCGGAAGCCUGGUCGUCAGUCGGAAAAACUUUAGACGCGCUACAUGGUGUUGCGCAGAAGUCACCUCUCGUGUCUAUGGGAGCCAUCAUCUCUAGAAUCCUACAAAAGAAUAUGGUUUUUAGCUAUAUGGACCGACAUUUCCAUGCCACACCCCAUAUGUGGUUUAUAACAUAAUCAUCCAUGCCAGGUCAGCAUGUAUAACUUAAUUUGGUAUUGAUGUUGCGCACCUUGAAAUCUCUAUACAUGACUCUAAUGAAAGAGUCCCAAUUGAGAUUCAAAGCCCUAUAGUGAGUAAUAGGGGUGAUCAAUUUCCAAUUCUAGUUUGGUCUAAUGGAAUCGGUCGCUUUUUCUUUUUUUCUUUUUUCACUACUUGAUGCCUUCUAUUAUAAAGAAAUAAUUUUUUUUUAAAAAGCUAGUAGCUUUUUCUUUUUGAAGAAGUUAAAAAAAAAAAAGAGUAUUUGAAGUUGGUCCGAUCCGGUUCUCCCUUCUAACUGGGAACCAAACAGCCCAAAUACCGGUUCCACUUUAGGAACUAGAAAUCAGACCGACACUCCUAAGAACCUGACCAAAACCUCCCAGUUCAAUCCGAUCUGGCAAUUCUCAGUUUGAGUAGUCCGUUUUGUACACCUCUUGUGAGUAAUAACCUCUUCUAUUCUUUUAGCAGAUAAGUUUUAUGAGAUCCGCCUACCCAGAAACAGUGUUUUCUCUUAGGAUUCAGCAUUCAUCGGUAUUGUUCAGUUAAAGAGCAGGUCAUGGUUCCGGUUUUUCAGAGAAAAUUCUUGGAGUCCAGUCAAACAACAAAGUCAAUUGUAGAUUAUGAAGUAGCUCCAAGGCCUAGAGCUGAUAAUAUUCUGUUAAGAACCUUGCAAUCCUGCCAGCUUUAGAAUUCAUUUUUUAAUCUAUGUCAAGCUUUGAAUAUGAAAUGGCUAAAAGUCUUUCGAAAGGUUAGUCAAUCGCACGUAACCUCCCAGAAGUUGCUUAGUCUUUUAUCAUUUAAAUGACAGCCAAUUGUUUCAGUGCAAUCUUCCCUCUGGUCAAGGGGAAAAAAACUCUAACUCAUACAGAAAAUGCCACACCAACUAACUUCAUUCUCUAAGGUUUACUUGAAUACUAUCAUCUUAUGAGCUUAUAAACUCUGAACACAACUCCUUGAAUGAAUUUGAAUAAAGCCAAUUAAUAGUGAAUGUAUGCUACUUCAAUUUGGAAGGGGCCAAAGUUUUGUGGACGUAUAUGAACUUCUGAGCUAGUAACUUCGUAUUUGUCUUGGCCAGACUUAGAUAAUUACCUGUGUUCGAUAGAUCUCACUUCCUGUCAGAGAUCUGUAAGUUGCCUGUCAUGGAAUCCGCAUUCAUAACGGAAAAUCUAUGUGAAAAUAAAAAUGCAGAAUUUUGUACCAAAUCUGGAGAAGGUAAAUCAUAUCUGUGAAUCAUACUGAAGCUAGAAAUACUUUUUGCUGGGCCAAUGCUCAUGCUUCUUAUGUGAGAACUUUAGCAUAUCUUUGGUAAUGAUAUCUUUAGUCCAAAAAACCAGAAAAUCAAAUCUUCAUAACACAACCGGUGGUGAGAGCGAUGAGGAUUACUUGGUACUUCUCCUUAAUAAUACCAACAGUUCUGGCUGUUGUAAAUCAGAACAAAUUCCUGCGUCGAAUAUGUUUUGUCUAAAAAGUGUAUAUUCCAAGCCCCUACUUUGCAGCCUAAAAUCCAUGUAAGAAGUGGAGCAGUUCAUUCAACCUUUUGUUCGGAUCGAACUAAAGCCAUCCUUGAAUUGAAUAAACACUAAUAUCUUAGAAAAUAACAACAAAAUCAUCUCCAAACACCAGAAAAUAAAGAUGAAGAAAAAUAGCCAUCAUCUUCCUUCGACCAUGGUAUUAGUGACAGUGUUAACAGACCAGAUGCUUUCCUGCUGUGACGGAAUAUGACGUUUUAGCAUUUCAGCUUGGAAAAUGAAUAUAGGCUGUCCUGGCUGAGGAAGAUCAGUUUCGCCAUUUAACAUCAGAACCACAUUCCACAUGUUUGGUCUAUCUGCGGCAUGCUCCUGAACACAGAGAAGCCCAACAUGGAUGCAUCUUGUUACCUCCACUGGAGAGCUAACAGCAAUUGCUCCAUCCAUUAGGUCCAAUGCCUUGCCUUCAAUCCAUAAUUGCCAUGCCUAUAAGUGAGAACACUGUCAUAAUAUUGCAGGGAACUUACGAUAAUGAUUAAGGUUGGAAUUCGGGACUUACAUACGAAAGGAGAUUCAGAUGUUGUCCCUGGUCAUACAGGGCCGUGUUCUUUUUGCCGCUAACAAUCUCCAGUAGCAGCACUCCAAAGCUAUAGACAUCGGACCUCUCGGAAAAUAUCCCGCCCAUGGCGUACUCAGGAGACAUAUAGCCACUGCAGUUGAGUUAAAAUGAUUGUGAUAGAUAAUGGGGAUGAAACAUGCACAAAGUGAGAGGAUCAUCGUGGCAAAUCAAUCAUUUCCGUCUGCUUCGAAAGAUUGACUCAAUAAAUUGAUAAUUUAAAUAGGACUUGAUAACUUACAGUGUUCCAGCAAUUUUGUGAGUGUUCACCAAAACUUGAGUGCCCUCGAACAUUCGUGCCAACCCAAAAUCAGCAAUUUUUGGGUUCAUCUUUUCAUCUAAGAGAAUAUUACUUACUUUUAAGUCUCGAUGUAUGACCCUAAGGCAAGAAUCUCGAUGGAGGUAGAGAAGCCCCCUUGCAAUCCCCUGGAUUAUAUGAAAUCGUUUGCCCCAGUCGAGUUCUACCUUUUUCGUUGAAUCUAACAAGCAUGACAAACAAGAACAGUUUUCAACUUUCAGUGCUUUGGCGAGAAAUACAUCACAGAAAAAUAUUUACUUGGAGAGAAAAAACGAACCAAAAAGAAAGGUGUCCAAGCUUUUGUUCGACAAGUACUCGUAUACCAAAAUUUUUUCAUCUCCUUCAAUGCAGUAGCCCAUGAGUUUAACAAGAUUUCGAUGUUGUAGUUUCGAUAAAAGGAUGAUCUCAUUCUUGAACUCUUCAAUGCCUUGGGCCGAGGUACUGGAAAGUCUUUUCACAGCUACCUCUUUCCCAUCUUUCAGCUUCCCCUGUUUUGCAAUUCACAUAGCUUUUAGACCUUGAAUCACCUUUAUAUUUUCAUUUAAUGAAUGUCCUGCAGAACGGUUUUACCUUAUAAACAGAGCCAAACCCUCCUUGCCCGAGUUUACUUGUGGUGCUGAACUUGUCUGUGGCAAGUAGUAUACUAUCAAAACUGAAAAGGGUCAAUUCCUGCGAAUCAUCUUGCUUCAACUGCUCCUUCCAUGCUUUCGCUUGCAUAAGUUUGGCCGAACUAUCAGAUGUGUGUACCAAGCCACGGAGCCUCGAAAUUAUGCACCAGUUUCCUGUGUUC